rnacentral:rRNA from 1 species
AGUGAACGCUGGCGGUAGGCCUAACACAUGCAAGUCGAACGGCAGCACAGUAAGAGCUUGCUCUUACGGGUGGCGAGUGGCGGACGGGAGGCAUACAUCGGAAUCUACUUUUUCGUGGGGGAUAACGUAGGGAAACUUACGCUAAUACCGCAUACGACCUACGGGUGAAAGCAGGGGAUCUUCGGACCUUGCGCGAUUGACUGAGCCGAUGUCGGAUUAGCUAGUUGGCGGGGUAAAGGCCCACCAAGGCGACGAUCCGUAGCUGGUCUGAGAGGAUGAUCAGCCACACUGGAACUGAGACACGGUCCAGACUCCUACGGGAGGCAGCAGUGGGGAAUAUUGGACAAUGGGCGCAAGCCUGAUCCAGCCAUACCGCGUGGGUGAAGAAGGCCUUCGGGUUGUAAAGCCCUUUUGUUGGGAAAGAAAAGCAGCAGGUUAAUACCCCGCUGUUCUGACGGUACCCAAAGAAUAAGCACCGGCUAACUUCGUG